AAAAACAUGUCUUUUUGUUAAAAAUAUAAAGUCUAACCUGCCCAUUGAUAAUUUAUUUAAAGGCCGCAGUAUAUUGACUGUGCAAAGGUAGCAUAAUCAUUUGUCUUUUAAUUGAAGGCUUGAAUGAAUGGUUGAAUGAAAAAUUAACUGUCUUAUUUUAAUAAAUUAAGAAUUUAAAUUUUAAGUUAAAAUGCUUAAAUAUUUUUAAAAGACGAGAAGACCCUAUAGAUUUUUAUUAUUUUUUAAAAUUAUAUUAUAUAGAAUAAAAUACAAUAUAAUUAAAAUAAUAAUUUAGUUGGGGUGAUUGAAAAAUUUAUUUAACUUUUUUUUAUUAAAAACAUAAAUAUAUGAAUAGUUGAUCUUUUAUUAAAGAUUGAAAGAUUAAAAUACCUUAGGGAUAACAGCGUAAUUUUUUUAAAGAGUUCUUAUCGAUAAAAAAGAUUGCGACCUCGAUGUUGAAUUAAAAGUUAUAUUUAAAUGUAGAAGUUUAAAUGUUAGGUCUGUUCGACCUUUAAUUUUUUACAUGAUCUGAG
rnacentral:rRNA from 1 species